AGGGACUUAGGAUAACAUAGACCAAGGGCCUUCAAAGCCCUAAGUAGGAGUUAAAAUCUCCUAGUCCCUG
rnacentral:tRNA from 1 species